UAGGGAAUAUUGCAUAAUGGGCGAAAGCCUGAUGCAGCAACGCCGCGUGUGCGAUGAAGGCCUUCGGGUCGUAAAGCACUUUUUGAGAGGAUGAGGAAGGACAGUACUCUCAGAAUAAGCCUCGGCUAACUACGUGCCAGCAGCCGCGGUAACACGUAGGAGGCGAGCGUUAUCCGGAUUUACUGGGCGUAAAGCGCGUGCAGGCGGUAAGGAAAGUUGGAUGUGAAAGCUACUGGCUUAACUGGGAGAGGUCGUACAAAACUACCUAACUAGAGUGUGGGAGAGGGAGGCAGAAUUCCGGGUGUAGUGGUUAAAUGCGUAGAUAUCCGGAGGAACACCAGUGGCGAAGGCGGCCUCCUGGCCCAAGGCUGACGCUCAGGCGCGAAAGCUAGGGUAGC
rnacentral:rRNA from 1 species